rnacentral:rRNA from 1 species
GAUGAACGCUAGCUACAGGCUUAACACAUGCAAGUCGAGGGGAAACGAUGAGAGAGCUUGCUCUCUUAGUCGUCGACCGGCGCACGGGUGAGUAACGCGUAUCCAACCUGCCUCUGACCAAGGGAUAACCCGUCGAAAGUCGGACUAAUACCUUAUGCACCCGCCGGAAGUCAUCUGAUGACGACGAAAGAUUUCAUCGGUGAGAGAUGGGGAUGCGUCUGAUUAGCUUGUUGGCGGGGUACCGGCCCACCAAGGCGACGAUCAGUAGGGGUUCUGAGAGGAAGGUACCCCACAUUGGAGCUGAGACACGGUCCAAACUGCUACGGAGGGCAGCAGUGAGGUAUAUUGGUCGAUGGGCGUUAGCCUGAACCAGCCAAGUAGCGUGCAGGAUGACGGCCCUAUGGGUUGUAAUCUGCUUUUAUGCGGGGAUAGAGUGAGGGACGUGUCCUUCAUUGCCGGUACCGAAUGAAUAAGGACCGGCUAAUUCCGUG